rnacentral:rRNA from 1 species
AUUGAACGCUGGCGGCAGGCCUAACACAUGCAAGUCGAGCGGAGCGGCGGUCGGGUAAGUAAUGCCUAGGAAUCUGCCUGGUAGUGGGGGAUAACGUCCGGCAACGGGCGCUAAUACCGCAUACUAUCACAUGCGACUAGGGCGGACUAGCUAGUUGGUGGGGUAAAGGCAUACCAGGGCGACGAUCCGUAACUGGUCCGAGAGAAGGAUCAUUCACACUGGAACUGAGACACGGGCCAGACUCCUACGGGAGGAAGCAGUGGGGAAUAUUGGACAAUGGGCGAAAGCCUGAGCCAGCCAUGCCGCGGGUGUGAAGAAGGUCUUCGGAUUGUAAAGCACUUUAAGUUGGGAGGCGUUACCAACAGAAUAAGCACCGGCUAACUUCGUGCCAGCAGCCGCGGUAAUAC